rnacentral:lncRNA from 1 species
UUGGAAAAAGAUAGGUAAACACCCUUUUUCAUACACCUCUUAUAUACACCUUCAUGUGUUAUGGGUAUUUUAGUAAUUUUAUAUCAUAUCAUCAUCCUUUUUUAUCUCUUCUUUCAAUGUUUUUGCCACGUGUCACAAAUGUGUGUGGGUGUAAAAGGGUGUAUGCCAUCUAAGGUGGUUUAUGUAUAAGAGCUCGAAUUGGAAAAAGAUAGGUAAACACCCUUUUUCAUACACCUCUUAUAUACACCUUCAUGUGUUAUGGGUAUUUUAGUAAUUUUAUAUCAUAUCAUCAUCCUUUUUUAUCUCUUCUUUCAAUGUUUUU